GUCUUUAUAGUAUACUAAUUACACUGGUCUUGUAAAUCAGAAAAGGAAGAUAACACUUCCUAAAGACU
rnacentral:tRNA from 1 species